rnacentral:rRNA from 1 species
UACGUAGGGUGCGAGCGUUGUCCGGAAUUAUUGGGCGUAAAGGGCUCGUAGGCGGUUUGUCGCGUCGGGAGUGAAAACACCGGGCUUAACUCGGUGCUUGCUUUCGAUACGGGCAGACUAGAGGUAUGCAGGGGAGAACGGAAUUCCUGGUGUAGCGGUGAAAUGCGCAGAUAUCAGGAGGAACACCGGUGGCGAAGGCGGUUCUCUAGGCAUUACCUGACGCUGAGGAGCGAAAGCGUGGGGAGCGAACAGG